AGGCAUGCUCUCAACCUCUGAGAUCCAGCUUUGGACUCUGCCUCCUGGUACUGGGAUAACUGGAAUGCUCACAGCCAGCUAAAGCCAGCUUUAGGAAUGGGGCUGCCUUGCGGUAGUUUUUCCUAUCAAUUCCAGAAGAGGGCAAGGGCAAGAUAUUACCCUCUCCCUUGCCCGCUUCCGGAAGGAUGAUUCUAGAACAGUUAACUAUUGGAUGCAGGUCCUUGGGCAAGAUGGGCUCUGGAGUUCCCUCUGCGGUGCUGUAGUUCUCUUGGAUGGAGAGAAUAGAGAUCCAGGCAGACUUCACAGAUAUCACACAGCGAAGAACAAUGCGUCAAAGAACCCAGAAGCAUGCAACGAAGAACCCAGCACCUACUGAAAUCUCAUGUGUGGCUAUUUGUCUGUGCUGCAUGUGUGUGCCCGAUGUCCUUGGUGUCAGGUCCCUGAAACUACAGUUACACAUGGUUGUGAUCACCCAUGUCGGUAUGGGAAUCAAACCCAGGUCCUCUGGAAGACUGGUUGAUUUAUCAGUGUAUUAUUUCAGCUUACUCUUGUACUCUGGCCUACUGUUGAGUUUAGCUGUUGAAGAGUGCUCUUAUAUUACGAGUAGUGAUUCUCACUAUUAACUAAAGCCAGUGUGACCUUUUUUGCUCUAUCUUUCACACUAGUGGGGUUUUUAACAAAAGAUCCCGAAGCACUUUGAUCAGAAUAUAUUCAUGAAAGAAUACCAUUCCUGCCGUCAGUACAUGCAGUCAGCCUUAAUUAUCAUACAAUUAUUUCGCAGGAUCUUGCCAGAAAAAUAUAACCUUGAACUCCCUGCUACCCGGUUCUUAUCAAAGUCUUUUUUAUGAAACCUGAUAUUGACGGAUGAUUUCCAGAAAGAUUCACAUCUUGCUUGUUUCCAGAUAUUAUCAAUUUUGUCUCAGACCAAGCCAGACUGUUAGAGGAAUGUUUGCUUGGUUGCAACGUUUUUAACUAUUUUAGGAUUAUUUUUGUAAUACCUUUAUGAUGAUAUAAACACUUCCAUUGCAUUUUAAAAGUUGUUCAGACAACUUUUAAAACUAGUUAAAAACUAGUUAAAAGCUAGCCUCUCUACUCUUAUCAUCACACACACAGCCCUCUGGGAGCCCAGUCCUAAGCAACCAUUAACCUUCCAGUCUCUGUGGUUUUCCUUGUCCUGCCCAGUUCACAGAUAGAAGGAAUCUCAUAAUAUCUGGCCUUCUGUGAGUGUCAUCUUUAAUAACAGUGAUGAUUAGUCUUGACGACCACUUCGCUAGGAUUUACAGUUAUGGAGGAAGCCAAUCUCUGUGGAUGUCCACAAAGUGUUUCUAGACAUGGUUGAACUGCGGUGAAACAGCCCACGGCCUGUGGGCAGUGCCCUUCCGUGGGCAGUUGCAGUGUGACCUGAACCUCAGGUUCCUGCAGCCAGGCACCCCUUGCUGUCAGGUAGCAUAUGAUCAAACCCUGAUCCAAAAUAAAGUCUCCUUGCCUUUAGCUGCCUUAUCAGGCAUUCUGUCCAGAAGUAGAAAAGCAACUGCUACUAUUAAAUAUCUUUGAAGUCC
ensembl:lincRNA